rnacentral:rRNA from 1 species
UACGUAGGGUGCAAGCGUUGUCCGGAAUUAUUGGGCGUAAAGAGCUCGUAGGCGGUUUGUUGCGUCGGCUGUGAAAUCCCGAGGCUCAACCUCGGGUCUGCAGUCGAUACGAGCAAACUAGAGUGUUGCAGGGGAGACUGGAAUUCCUGGUGUAGCGGUGAAAUGCGUAGAUAUCGGGAGGAACACCAGUGGCGAAAGCGGCUACCUGGCCCAUUCUUGACGCUGAGGCGCGAAAGCUAGGGGAGCAAACGGG